GGAGGGGUGGCCGAGCGGUUUAAGGCACCGGUCUUGAAAACCGGCGGGGCGCAAGCCCCCGUGGGUUCGAAUCCCACCCCCUCCGCCA
rnacentral:tRNA from 1 species